GACGAACGCUGGCGGCGUGCCUAAUACAUGCACGUAGGACGCAUUUGCGAACGGGUGAGUAACGCGUAGGUAACUACCUAUUAGAGGGGGAUAACUAUUGGAAACGAUAGCUAAUACCGCAUACUAGUAGAUGGACCUGCGUUGUAUUAGCUAGUAGGUAGGGUAAUGGCCUACCUAGUCAACGGUACCUAGCCGACCGGAGAGGGAGAUCGGCCACACGGGGACGGAGACACGGCCCAGACUCCUACGGGAGGCAGAAGGAGGGAAUCUUCGGGAAUGGGGGGAACCCUGACCGAGCAACGCCGCGUGAGUGAAGAAGGUUGUCGGAGCGUAAAGCUCUGUUGUUAAGGAAGCGGUACUUAACCAGAAAGGGACGGCUAACUACGUGCCAGCAGCCGCGGUAAUUC
rnacentral:rRNA from 1 species